CCUGAGCUUCCUUGACAGUAAAGAAUCCACCUGCAAUGUGGGAGACCUGGGUUCGAUCCCUGGGUUUAGGA
rnacentral:tRNA from 1 species